UUUUUUUUUUUUUUUUUGCAGUACUGGGUAUUGAACUCAGGACCUUGCUCUGGCCAAGUAGGUGUGGGGCCACUGAGCUACAUCCCUGGCCCUCUUCCUUGUUUCUUCUAACAAAAUGCAGCCCAGCUAUGGAAUUCCAAGACAUAAUUCCAUUUUGGCCUCCAGUCACAACCGAGACCUCAAUGAUCCAGUGAUGCUGUGAUUCUCCAGGACAAGAUUACUCCAGCUGAAGGCAUCCUGGGAGGAACAAACAUCUACUCAGUUCCUCAUUGUUCUUGGACUGUUACCAUCUUGUUUACCCGGAUGUACUGAACUCUCUGCAAGUCAUUUGUUACAUCUGUUUCUCCCGAUGUACUGAAUAAAAGGUGCGGUAAGCUGGGGGCUUUCAUCUUUGCCGCCCAGAGCAGCACUGAUCAGAC
rnacentral:lncRNA from 1 species